UACGUAGGGUCCGAGCGUUGUCCGGAAUUACUGGGCGUAAAGAGCUCGUAGGUGGUUUGUCGCGUUGUUCGUGAAAACCGGGGGCUUAACCCUCGGCGUGCGGGCGAUACGGGCAGACUUGAGUACUGCAGGGGAGGACUGGAAUUCCUGGUGUAGCGGUGGAAUGCGCAGAUAUCAGGAGGAACACCGGUGGCGAAGGCGGGUCUCUGGGCAGUAACUGACGCUGAGGAGCGAAAGCGUGGGGAGCGAACAGG
rnacentral:rRNA from 1 species